UUUCUCCUUAACGGGCUGAUUUGGAUUGACUUGUUGAGAAUGGUAUCCAUUAGUAAUGAGUCAGGAGAGAAAGGGAUUUCUGUGGUUACAUGUAAACUUGUGGUAGGUCUGCAGAAGUUACACGUGAAGAGGUUAGUGAGGAAGUCAGCCAUGAUCCAUCUAUGUGAAGGUCACACCAGCUUCACUGUACACUUUGAAGACUUUUUCAAUGGCAUUGACAUAGGCAGCUGUUCUCAGGUCCAAUCCCAGGUUAUACUUCAUGGCUGUGUGCAUAAUUUGCCUGGCAGAACGCUCCAUUGUGUAUGCCAAGGCAGAGUGCACAAUGUCUUUCUCAGAUGCACCCGAUAUACUGUCUUGGAACUCUGCCGUGGGUACAAUGGGAAUAGUUCCACCAUGCUUUCCAAAUUUUCUUUCUAAACUCUCUUGAACAGACAGGAGCAAGUGGUAGUUAGAAUCCCUUUCAUAUUUGAAGGUCAAACGGCCAUAGCUGACAUGAUUUAGAUUCUUCAGCCACUCAAAGUAAGAUACUGUCACUCCUCCAGCAUUCAAGUAGAGAUCUGGAAUAACCAAAAUGUUUCUCUCCAGGAAGAUCUUAUCAGCUUCUGGAGUUGUUGGCCCAUUGGCACCUUCAGCAAUGAUCUUGGCUUUGACUCUGGGUGCGUUGGAUUUGGUCAACUGCUUCUCAGUGGCAGCUGGGAUCAGUAUGUCACAGUCGACCUCCAAGAUGCUUCCUUCAUAGGGCUUUGCCUUGGGGAAGCCCAGAAUGGACCCAUGUUGCAAUUUGAAGUCUUCCAGUUCCUUUGGGUCAAUACCAUCUGGAUUCCAUAUACUCCCAUCAGACUCACCAACAGCAAUACAUUUAGCACCAAAACGAUGUAAAUAUCUCAUAGAGUGUAGGCCCACAUUACCAAAUCCCUGAACAACAAAUGUUUUAUCUCUAAACCCUGGUGUCAUUCCUAAAAUGCUCAUGUAAGAAGCUUCAUUGAUGAAGUUUUCAAUCCCAUGGAAGACACCACGGCCAGUAGCAGAGAUGCGUCCAUGGAUUCCCCCUUGGCUGAUGGGUUUACCAGUAACACAGGCGUGUGCAUUAAUAUCAUAGUGCCCUAUGGUGCUGGCAUAGGUAUCAGCAAUCCAGGACAUCUCCCGCUCACCUGUGUUCAUGUCUGGAGCAGGCACAUCAACGCCAGGACCAAUAAAGCCCUUCUUUGCUAGCUCCAUGGUGAACCUCCUUGUGAUCUUUUCCAAUUCAUUUUCGGUAUAGUUCUUGGGAUUGAUCUUAACACCAGCUUUAGCACCCCCAAACGGCACAUCAACCACUGCACACUUGUAUGUCAUCAGAGAAGCCAAAGCUUUUACUUCAUCUACACUCACAUCAGUGCUGUAACGGAUACCUCCCUUGCAGGGCGUGCGGUGCUGGCUGUGCUGGGCCCGGUAGCCUUCGAUGACCUCCCAGGAGCCGUCGUCGCGCCGGAUGGGGAAGGAGAGACUCAGCACAUGGUUGCAGGGCUUGAUGAUCCGCAGGAUGCCGCGCACCCGGUUCCGCUUCUGCUCCUCGCUUUCCUGGGUCCUCAGGUCCUUCACCAACUUGUCCUCCACGAUGCUGGCGCCGCGAUCGAAGAAGCCCUCCACCAUCUUGAAGAAGUUGGGGUCGUCCUCGCGGUCGCAGGCGGAGGAGGGGUGCGUGACGGUCGCGGAACAGGUGCGCUUUCUCAGACUCCCCGCGACUAGGAAGGAAGGGUCCGGCGCGGGUUGCCCUUUU
rnacentral:lncRNA from 1 species